GGGGACUGCGGGUCAGGAAUUCUCUUCCUCCUCCUGGCUGUACCUCCUCAGCGACGUCAAUGCAUCCUUCACAGAGUGGAACAAGAUGUUCUUUACCUGGGUAGAAGACAGAGAGGAGAGGUUAAACAGGAGGGAGAGAGAGGAGAGGUUAAACAGGAGGGAGAGGACAGAGAGGAGAGGUUAAACAGGAGGGAGAGAGAGAGGAGAGGUUAAACAGGAGGGAGAGGACAGAGAGGAGGGGUUAAACAGGAGGGAGAGAGAGGAGAGGAGGGGUUAAACAGGAGGGAGAGAGAGGAGAGGUUAAACAGGAGGGGAGAGGACAGAGAGGAGAGGUUAAACAGGAGGGAGAGAGAGAGGAGAGGUUAAACAGGAGGGAGAGACAGAGAGGAGAGGUUAAACAGGAGGGAGAGACAGAGAGGAGAGGUUAAACAGGAGGGAGAGACAGAGAGAGAGAUGGAGAUGAGGGAGAGACAGAGAGGAGAGAGAGAGAGACGGAGAGGACAGAGAGGAGAGGUUAAACCGGAGGGAGGGACAGAGAGAGAUGGAGAGGAGGGAGAGACAGAGAGGAGAGGUUAAACAGGAGGGAGAGACAGAGAGAGAUGGAGAUGAGGGAGAGACAGAGAGAGAUGGAGAGAGGGAGAGGACAGAGAGGAGAGGUUAAACAGGAGGGAGAGAUACUUUAAAAUAUACGUACACCUUUAUUGGCCCAAUAGUUAAAUAAAUAAAGUUGCACUUUGCAGAAAUUGCUCCUCCAUUUCCUGGUUGCUAAAACUAAGUUUGUCUAAUUUCAGGUUGUAACAAAAUAAGACACAAUUCUCAAAACCGCUGUGAUUGGUUACCACUUUACUGCUGUGAAAUAUAUUUUCCAGAACCAAGAAUAUUGGUUACCACUUUUACUGGACACCCAGCGUCAUAACCUGUUAUAUAUCUCAUAUAUAUAUAUACAGUUUGACCCAAGACCCCUGUCCUGGUCCCCUGUACCCCUGUCCUGGUCCCCUGUGCCCCUGUCCUGUUCCCCUG